UACGUAGGGUGCGAGCGUUGUCCGGAAUUAUUGGGCGUAAAGAGCUUGUAGGCGGUCUGUCGCGUCUGCUGUGAAAAUCCGGGGCUCAACCCCGGACUUGCAGUGGGUACGGGCAGACUAGAGUGUGGUAGGGGAGACUGGAAUUCCUGGUGUAGCGGUGAAAUGCGCAGAUAUCAGGAGGAACACCGAUGGCGAAGGCAGGUCUCUGGGCCACUACUGACGCUGGAGAAG
rnacentral:rRNA from 1 species